AUUGAACGCUGGCGGCAGGCCUAACACAUGCAAGUCGAACGAGCGGCGGACGGGUGAGUAAUGUCUGGGAAACUGCCUGAUGGAGGGGGAUAACUACUGGAAACGGUUGCUAAUACCGCAUACCAUCGGAUGUGCCCAAAUGGGAUUAGCUAGUAGGUGGGGUAAAGGCUCACCUAGGCGACGAUCCCUAGCUGGUCUGAGAGGAUGACCAGCCACACUGGAACUGAGACACGGUCCAGACUCCUACGGGAGGCAGCAGUGGGGAAUAUUGCACAAUGGGCGCAAGCCUGAUGCAGCCAUGCCGCGUGUAUGAAGAAGGCCUUAGGGUUGUAAAGUACUUUCAGCGGGGAGGCGUUACCCGCAGAAGAAGCACCGGCUAACUCCGUGCCAGCAGCCGCGGUAAUAC
rnacentral:rRNA from 1 species